GAUCGAUCUGGCUGCCAGCCACCUCUGUAUGAGCUCAAAAUCCAUGGCUGCAACAGCUCAACGCCUCUGCUCACCUCGCUGUCCACUGCCACCACCAGAGAUUCAAGAGUUGUAAGCUGCAACAACUGCAAUCUGGAUCUACAUCUGAUGGCAGUGUGUGGGAUCUGUGACAGCAAGUCAGCUGUGGCAAGGAAGAAGUGACCACAACCUUAAUCAACAUCCUGCUACCUUCCAUCCCAUUUUCCUUGGCCCUUGCACCCUUCAUUCUCCUGUGAGGCAAGGCCAAGCACUGCCUUGCCUUCUUCUGUGUGCCUUGCUGCUUCAGCGUAACAACCAUGCUGAUCACAUAGUCCCUCUUACAUUAAUAAGAAACAACUCAUUAUUCAUUAUCUCCUGUAUCUCCAAGAUUUUCAACUAUGGGUAGCAUGAUCAUCUAACCCGUCUUUCCCUUGUUUUCAUACUUUUCUAUCUCCUUAAUACUUGUGUCCGCUCAAAACAAGCCGUAUAAAAAGAAACAGGAAGUGAGUGAGUAUGUUUUAGGUUUAAAUUGGGUUCAGCAAGAAUAGUACUAGUAAAUUCAUCCAACAUAUGUGGAUCAUCAUCCACCAGUGUAAUAUAGAAGUACAAAUUUCAUAUGGUUUGGAUAUGAUUAUUGCUUUUCUUCCGAGUUUUUCAUGUGUGAGGUGUGAUAAUAACUACAAAGGGAAUAAAAAAACAGAAACCAGAAAGAGCUGACAUGGACACAAAAUGCACUAAAUUUACAAGCAUACCUGAUGUGGGUUACGAUCAAUAAUUGACUGCUCCUUAAACUUCAACUUGCACGAAUAUUCAUUAUUGCCUUGUAUUCGCAUAGUACCAUAAUGAUCACAAUACAGUUUACCCAAUAUGAGAUUGUAAAUGGAAGUUGUCACCUGAGAUAGAAUAUUUCAAGUGAAUUAUUUCCACAGACCAAAGAUCUAACCACUUCUUGCUAAAUAUGUAAUGGUACCUUGCUCCACUGGAAAACUUCACCAUCAUCGAACUCCAAGGUUAGCACACCAACAGGAUCAAGUUGAAUGGAGCGACCCCAGAACUUGCUUUUUAGGUUGCUAUCUGCCCAAAACCGCCACCCAGUUCCCUCACAAUGGCAUGCAACCACCAUAGGAUGGUGACUAACCUGGCAAGUCAUAUUGAAGAGUCUUAAUCAACCAAAAUGCAAAUCCAAAUAGAACUAGCAGAAGACAAUAAUCUAUAGGGGAAAAAUAUUCAAGCAUAUACAGGAUAGACCAUCUGAUGAUCAAAUAGUCAGAGAACAGAGUUUCCAGUGAUCUGUGAACAUAAAGAGAAAUACGGACAAUCGGAAGAAAUAGAACUACGAAUUAAAAAUUUAAAACAUAAUGUAACAUUUACCAAGAAGACACAGGUACCAACAUAAUGUAACAUGGCUUUGGUGUCAGGGAACAGUCAAGUGACAACUUUGUAAUACAUUUUUUCUGCCAAACCUUUACUAACUGGAUUAUCAUGCCUGUACAAAAGCAGUAGUACUACUUUAAAAAGUCUGUGUUAAGUUAUAAAGGUUGGCUAUGCUGAACCGAUAGUAAGAAAAUCUUCUUCAUAUUACAAAAUAUAAGUAGCUUUCAAAGGUCCACAGACAAAACCUUUUCUGAGAAAAAACGGAGGCCUUUGUCUGGAUAAUCUGCUUCAUAGGUCUCCCCAAGAAGUGGAUUGAAGGGCUUACAGCUUCUUCCAUCCGUAGAUGCAUAGCCAGAAACAGCAAAUGCUGCUACACUAA
rnacentral:sRNA from 1 species